AAACUGAAGAGUUUGAUCCUGGCUCAGAUUGAACGCUGGCGGCAUGCCUUACACAUGCAAGUCGAACGGCAGCACGGGUGCUUGCACCUGGUGGCGAGUGGCGAACGGGUGAGUAAUAUAUCGGAACGUACCUUAUCGUGGGGGAUAACGCAGCGAAAGCUGCGCUAAUACCGCAUACGCCCUGAGGGGGAAAGCGGGGGACCGUAAGGCCUCGCGCGAUUAGAGCGGCCGAUAUCUGAUUAGCUUGUUGGUGGGGUAAAAGCCCACCAAGGCGACGAUCAGUAGCUGGUCUGAGAGGACGAUCAGCCACACUGGGACUGAGA
rnacentral:rRNA from 1 species